UACGGAGGGUGCAAGCGUUAUCCGGAUUUACUGGGUUUAAAGGGUGCGUAGGCGGGUAUUUAAGUCAGUGGUGAAAUCUCCGGGCUUAACUCGGAAAUUGCCGUUGAUACUAUUUGUCUUGAAUAUUCUGGAGGUGAGCGGAAUAUGUCAUGUAGCGGUGAAAUGCUUAGAUAUGACAUAGAACACCAAUUGCGAAGGCAGCUCGCUACGGAAUGAUUGACACUGAGGCACGAAAGCGUGGGGAUCGAACAGG
rnacentral:rRNA from 1 species